rnacentral:lncRNA from 1 species
CCAAAGUGCUGGGAUUACAGUUGUGAGCCACUGUGCCCGGCCUAGCAAGAUCACUUUUUAAGUAUCCAGAAAGCUCUUUCUUAUGUUGAAUUAUGUCCAGAGGCAUAACUAGACUGAAGGUUUAGACUCCAUUCAUUCUCCUAUGUUUUUGUUCUUAACUGCAUUCUGCAGUCAAAUCAGGAGCUUUAGAAAAUACUGAUGCCUGGCUCUCAACCAGAGAGAACUGAACUGAAUUGGUCUGGUGAAUUCAUUAAAAGAGCUAACAACAAUGAAGUUAAUGUACGCAUCUCACCUCUCAAGAGUAUUAACAGGCCAGGCGUGUUGGCUCAUACCUGUAAUCCCAGCACUUUGGGAGGCCAAGGCGGGCGGAUCACCCAAGAAUGGGAUAACUGCCUGGCACUCACCAAGCUACACUUGAAGAGGAUCAAUCCAUGUCAUCAUGUCCCCAAUUUCAUAGCACCAAGUAUUUUGUUUAUUCACAAAUGCCCUAUUAUGGACAUCUAGCAAACAAUGAUACAUCAGAAAAGGAGAUGUGCAUAAAUUUUCAUGGAAUAAGGUUGUGGAAAAUGCACUAGAAUCAACAAACAUGGGGACUAAUUCAACUCGGAUAUCAUGUCUUCAGAGAAGUUUCUCCUGCCCUCCUCUCCCUGUAGAAUUAAGUAUUCUUCCACUGUGCCACCCUCUAACUUGUGCUCAUAUCUUCCUCUAUUGUAGUUAUGUGUUCACAUCCCUGUUGUUUUUGUACCGGCUUCUCCCAAAGGGAGACAUUUAGUCUUAUUCUUCUUGGUAACUUUAGCACAGACCUGGCAGAUUGUUGACACUCAACAAAUGUUUAUUGACUCAAAUGCAUUCAGUUGAACAUUGACCUUUGAUCAACUCUGGGAAAAGUCUGCAAAGCUAGUUAGGACAUUCAGAAAUUCAUUUCAUUUCAAUCCUAACUAAAUAAAUUAUUGAAGUCUCAGAACUUCUCAGUACUUGAUUUAGACACAUAGAAACUUGGGUAAAUAACA